rnacentral:lncRNA from 7 species
GGCACCCAGUGUCUCUGCUCACCCUUGGCGACCGAACAGGUGAACCACCCACUCCUUUCCGCCGUCCUCUAAGGGCCAUCCAGUUGCACCUACGCGUGAGCUCUCCCUUCAACACUCCAGUGCCCGAGCUCCCUCCCCUGUGGCCUCCGCUCGGUGCGCCCCUCUCUGCUCCUCUGCCGUGUCCCUGCUAGCGCCUGCCGUCAACCACCCGCCGUCCGAGCAGACACCGGGCGCCAGCAAACUACGUGGAGGCUAGCUAGAGGUGCCGGGGAUCCAGCCGCACGCAUCGCGUCCCUCGGCUGGCGUGAUUCACCACCGGAGGGCCGGUGAUUUCACGACAUUGGUGGUCGUCGCCGCGGGUCCGCGCUUCAACGUGAGCCCGUGCUCUCUCACGGCCAUCUGAUAAGAACCCGUUGCUGAGGAAUCCUGGUGAGCAGCAGGUUGAAGUAGCUGAGCAGGAGCUCAUUGAAGGAGAAGAGCAGGUGGUUCAGGAGGAGCCACAAGGCGAGGAGUUUGAUCUGAUCUAGGUGGCGUUUCUCAGUUGACAUUGGCGCCAACGAUCCUUAGUUCGUGUUAUAUUUAUCUUUUAUUUUUGUAAGUCUUCCGCUAUGUAAUAAAUACUCUGACUAUUGUGACAUUUAUCUCUAUACACUCUGUUAUUAU